ensembl:lncRNA
GUGUGCAUGCGUGCUAAGUUGCUUCAGUCGUGUCCGACUCUUUGUGACCCCACAGACUGUAGCCCACCAGGUUCCUCUGUCCCUGGGAUUCUCCAGGCAGGAAUGCUGGAGUGGUUGCCAUGCCUGACUCCAAGAGAAGAUACAUUGCUGCUGCUAAGUCGCCUCAGUCAUGUCCGACUCUGUACGACCCUAUAGAUGGCAGCCCACCAGGCUCCGCCGUCCCUGGGAUUCUCCAGGCAAGAAUACUGGAGUGGGUUGCCAUUUCCUUCUCCAAUGCAUGAAAGUGAAGAUACACUAGCAGGCCCCAAAAUGAACUCGGGGUGCAGACCCUCUCAGGACCCCCCCUAGACGUCCCUUCUCAGCAUCAGACAUGCUUGGCUCUGCCCUGUGGUCUAAUAAGGCUCCAGGGUCCUGGAGGGGCCCUACAGGGUCCCCCUGGGGUCAGGUCACCCACCAGCCAGAAGCCCUCUGCUCUGGCCCCAAGUCUGUUUCCUAACUGUGUCUGUGGGCAAGUUCUUCCGCCUCUCUGUUUCUCUUGCCUCUUCUAGGACGUGGGACAGAGGCCGCUGCCCCUGAGCUUCCCUGUGAAGCCGUGGUGGGUACAUGUCAAGCUCCAGGCUGGACUCAGGGCUGCCGGCCCUGGUUUUGUCCUUCUAACCAGCUGCCUGCAGACAGCAGCGCCCACGCUUCCCAGCAAGCUGGCACAUCCUGCCCCCCGUCUGCCCCGUUGCCAUGGAGAGAGCUGUGUGCGGAGAACCAGGCUCAGCAGAGCCUCUGAGGCUCUCCUCCCCUAGGAGGUCCCUGUCAGCUGCGGGCAGCGAAGGCUCAUUAGUGCUGGAGCCUGCGGGCCCUCUUCCCCCCGCAGCCUCCUGGCCCAGCCUGGCCUGGCUCUCCGCCUCCUCCCUCUCCCAGCGCAGCCCUGCCACAGCGCUGGAGGUCACCUAGACACCAUGGUUCUCCUUCUCCAUGCCGGUCCCUCCCAGAAGAGCCCCGGCCUGAGAUACGGCUAAACGAGCCAGGGCACCUCUAAGGGGGGCCUUGCGUGCCCGGGGCUCAGAUCUGUCCAGGCCUGUGUGU